rnacentral:lncRNA from 12 species
GUCAGGCUGUGCAUGUGUUCACAGUCGAUGAUGUGAUCUUUUUAAAAUUAAUGGUUGGUUCUCUUGUUCCAGAUAAGAAAAAAAUCUGGCAAUCCUGUGGAACAUUUUUCUGAAGGACACAAUGGACCAGGUGCUGGAGCUCAGCUGCAGCAUUCUCACCCUGUGUGCCAGCUGCCUUCUGCUGCUGCAAACACCCCCAGAGAGAGG